CUCAGCGAACGUUGGCGACAGUUGGCCCUUGGCACUCUCUUGGAAUCCACGCUGCGGAUUCAGAAUUCCGGAUUCCGGAUCCGGAUUUGGAACACUGAACAGCGGCAAUCGACGCAUCACCGGAUUUCUCGGGGCAACGGAAUUCCCCAUUCAUAUUUUUAGUGCUUGCGUGCGGAAUUUAUAUAUAUAUUUUUUUGUUGGUGCCGAAAGUUAAACAUUUUCACGUGAGAUUGCAAGGACACUCGAAUAGCAAUAGCAAAGGAGCAGGACAAGCAGCAGUUGCAGUUGCACCAACAAUAUAUAUUUUUGCUGCCAGCGCCAAGUUCAAAAUCAACGCCUGACAAUGACAACAGUAACAGCAACAACAACAACAACACCAACAGCAGCAGCGGGAGCAGCAUGGCGCCCAAAAAGCCCUAAAAUACCAGCAACAUCGAUAGCAACACCAGCAACAUUGCCUGUGGCAGCCACACCAAUCAAAUCGGCGGCCAUAAUAACACCAACAAAUACACCAACAACAACAACAACAACAGGAGUAGAACUAGAAGC